rnacentral:tmRNA from 1 species
GGGGGCGACAGGUUUCGACGGGGAUCAACGAGGUCCAGGCUGCGUCUCGAGGUUUCUCACCCCUCGUUAAUAAGUGAGAACCUUCUAGCUGCCAACACACAGCUAGCUCUGGCGGCCUAACAACCGCUAGUGUCGGCCAGGCCGAGCCAUCAGGGCCUGGGAACCGGCAUCAUACUCUGGUGGCUGGCUCCAACCUUCGCCUCAGGGGCGGAGCGAGACAUAUGAGGCUGGCCCCGCGGUCCUCCUGCCGGAUGGAGGGCCGAAGGGCGAGAGCGCAGUAAGAUAAACCGGCUAUCGACGUAGACGCCUGCGGCUGAGGGUUUCCGGACGUGGGUUCGAUUCCCACCGCCUCCACCA